AACAAACGCUGGCGGCGUGCCUAACACAUGCAAGUCGUACGAGAAAGUCGGCUUCGGCCGAUGAGUACAGUGGCGCACGGGUGAGUAGCGCGUGGGUAAUCUGCCCCCCGGUCAGGAAUAACCCGCCGAAAGGCGGGCUAAUACCCGAUAACACUGACGCUCCGCGGAGCGUCUUUCAAAGAAGGCCUCUGUUUACAAGCUUUCGCCGGAGGAUGAGCCCGCGUACCAUUAGCUAGUUGGCAGGGUAAUGGCCUACCAAGGCUACGAUGGUUAGCUGGUCUGAGAGGAUGGCCAGCCACACUGGAACUGAGACACGGUCCAGACUCCUACGGGAGGCAGCAGUGAGGAAUCUUGCGCAAUGGGGGAAACCCUGACGCAGCAACGCCGCGUGAGUGAGGAAGGCCUUCGGGUCGUAAAGCUCUGUCAGAUGGGAAGAAAGUGGAGGUGGGGACUAAUAUCGCCCACUCCUUGACCGGUACCUAUACAGAGGAAGCCGACCGGACUAACCUCCGUCG
rnacentral:rRNA from 1 species